UACGAAGGGGACUAGCGUUGUUCGGAAUCACUGGGCGUAAAGCGCACGUAGGCGGAUUUGUAAGUCAGGGGUGAAAUCCCGGGGCUCAACCUCGGAACUGCCUUUGAUACUGCGAGUCUUGAGUCCGAUAGAGGUGGGUGGAAUUCCUAGUGUAGAGGUGAAAAUUCGUAGAUAUUAGGAAGAACACCGGUGGCGAAGGCGGCCCACUGGAUCGGUACUGACGCUGAGGUGCGAAAGCGUGGGGAGCAAA
rnacentral:rRNA from 1 species